AGACGCCCCUGUGUUUUCCUUUUUAAACAUGCCCGGAAGUGGUUAGAUCGCAGGAAUCUCUGUCUACAUAAAUACAAUAGCUUUUGCAUCUUUAUUUUAAAUAAGAAUUCCAAGUGAUAAAAGAGCUUUUUAAUUAUCAGAGCAGGAGGAGAGGUAUCCUGAACUAAUUUUCUAGUUUGAUUGCUACACACAGAACGGACUGCGGGAUACAUUAAUCCAGAAGACACAAUAGCUGCCCACUUGAAGCUUUAUAUGGUACAAUGUCAUUAGGGUAUCUCAGGUAGGCUUUUCUUUGAUAGUAAUGUCCUUUGUCUCCUUCCCUUCCUCCCUAGUAUACUGGAGCUGACCUGAGGACAAAAUCCAGAGAAUUGCCAUGUGAUAAGGACAGUUGUAGCACUUGAUUUAUAACAAUAGUCUGCUCUCGGAUGAGCCACGUGGUUAGUAUACGGAUAAUCCUAGAUGAGAUCAAUUAAACAUUUUACAGAUGGACUAACCAUUUGGUCCUGUGGACUUCCUGCUCCUGUUAUCUAUCCUAUUUCCCUGGAUCUUGUCUAUCAAAUAUCAAAUCUCUAGAUCCUAGUAUCUAUCAACUAUCAAAAGGACAGUUUUGAGUUCUGUUCCUUUCAACCAGCUCACCAUCUGGGGGCCACUGGGGCACAGUGGCAGGAAUAAAGGUCAAGCUCAUUUCUUCAGCAUUCUCCCAGAUCCCGUUGGCGUAAAGUCUCUUCCUGUCUACUUUGUCUGCAAGACUCGUUGCCAAGAGUUCUCACGGGCAGAUCUUCGGGCAGUUGAAUCAAGAGGAAGGCUCCACUUCCUUCUCUUCUCUCUCUUCUUCCUGCAGAGACCCAAGGUGGCUUUGAAACACUCCUAUCUCCUUUUCCGUCUGAUUGCCUUAUUUGUUCAGAUGCUUCCAUCCUGAGCAUUUUCUUGAUUGCUCCCCCUGAUCUCUUUGCAGAGUGUCUUGCACGCAGCUCAUGGCCCAUCCAUCAAAGUGCCGUGCACAUCCGCUUUCUCAGACAGGGGUAAUACUCCUAAAGGCUGUGGAGGAGAGCAGUGGGCCCAUUUUAGCGCAACGCCCAAGACUAAAAGAGGUGUGUGUGCCCAUGGGUCCCUGACCCCUUUCGGUUCACCACCUUGGCAAAAAACAGCAGCAGCAGGAGGAGGAGGAGGAGGAGGAGAGAAAGGGAGUUCAGUGCGCAUCAUUCAGGCGACGCUUUCAGCCUCCCGUGAGCUCUCUCUCAACCCUUCAGAGUUUUGCUGGGGUUAUUAGGUGUGGCUGGCUCUCCACAGUUCUCUGCACUGUGUUUAUUAUGCGUCGUGAAGGUGUUAUCACUAGGUCAGUGCCUCUCACGUCUCCUGUCUGGUCACUAGGUCGGAUGCAGCGGUCUCCACAGACCAUCACCACGAGGCCAGCUGCACCGAAUUCUGGUGCUGAGGGAAAGAAGUUCAGCCGCACACCUUGAGCGAGGAGCUGGGGUGGAGAUGAGUGACCCCCCACUUGUGAAGUUUCUCCUGCUCUGUGCACACACGCACAGCAUUUGUGCACCUGCAGACACGCGUGGUGGCCACCGCACCACCAAUGUGCCCCUCGGGCACCACGUGACUUGCGGUCACCCCGAGGGUGGCCUUGCUUAUGGGUGCCUUUAUGCCUUUUUUUGGUGAAUGCGAUUAUCUCAUUUAAUAUCUAUUUUUUGAAGUUGUUUUAAUCGCAGCAUAAUUGACACGCAGUGUUACGUUAGUGACUCAGUGACUCCGUACGUUACGACGUUACGCUGCGGUCGCCACGAGUGUAGCUGCCCUUUAUACCUUGCGUGUGCUGGUUCCUCCGCAUGGGAUUCUUUCUUUCUGCAGUAGAUCUGGCAAACCCCUGUUGCUUCAUGUUGUGUCGGCUCUAGGGUCCCCUUCCUCCGGGAAGCCUUCCCUGUCCACCACCUGCCGUGCACACACAGGGUCUCACUGCCAGUGCCAUCUGCAUGUGGCAUUGCUGUCCUUCCUCAUUGUCCUGCUCCUGUGCCCAUCUCCCCACUAUAAGCAAGUCUUUUCGUUGCAUAAAGCAAACAUGCAUAUAAAUGUAUCUGGCACAUAAAAGCAAUUAGUAGAUAUUUGUUAAAUGAAUGAAUGAAUGAAUGAAUGAUUUGGGAGGGGGAAGAGUUGUAGUUUGCAAAAUACCUGACCACUCUAUGGAUACCAAGAGCUAAUUGUUUUUGUGGAUUAAAUUUCUCAUGUUUGUCUCUUGAUAUAAUUAGCACUGUCUUCCUAUCAAGACCGUUACCAAAAUCUACUUUGACUUGGUGCCACUCAACCUAUGUCAUUUCCCUCCCGGUAGCACCUCUCAGCCUUACUCUCUGCUUCUGCCAAGAGAAAUCUCCAUUCUCCCAAGGAAGGGAUUUAACCAUGUCUGUGGGUCUCUUGGUGGUGGAGGCUGGGUAUGGGGGAUCUGGCUCAAGUGCUGGGGAGUUCGGCAGGGUUAGUCCUCUGGAUUGCUACCCAGAAGAAAAUUUGAGCUGGGAGCGAUGGUCAGCGUGGCUGCUAGUUCCCCAGCUUCAUGUGUCGAACUUCUCCAGCAUUACGUCUGUCAUGGUGACCGAGGAAGUACAGCAUUUUCCCCCCUUAGCUAAAUGCUAAAAGGCAAAAAGACUUUACUUCCUCACCCAGAAAAACAUUUAGCUCCAGUAGCAAAGAAAAAAGUCUAUAGCCAUUAAAACAAAAAGGGAUUGGCAUUGAGUUCCAGCACGCUUUUCCCAAGCUGUUUAAAACACUUUUGUAAGCAAAGGUCCUCGUGCAGAGAGGAGAGAGGUAGAGUGUGUUCUGAGCUAUAUUUUAAUGCGUUCUUUAAAAUGUGGCCAUGGUGCAGUAUAUUCGCAUGGCUGUCUUUGGGCUCUGUUUCUAAAACAAUGAGAGUCGUGUUGAAAUUUGCAGCUGGUGAGCUGGCCCCAAGCCUGGUCAGUUCGGCCUCCAGCGCACCCUGGAACAGCCAGCAAGGCUGCUGGGGUCACACAUGUGAGGUGCCUGCAGGGUGGGGAGAGAGACCUGGGGUCCUCUCCUGUUCCUGCAGCUGGCCUGUCGAAUAGAGUUGACAUGGAAUUUUGAGGUCUGUAGCCAUUCGCUGAAACCCUCCUGGAGAAUAAAAGCAGGCAUCAUGGAGAAGGGCCGCGUCUGGCAUCCAGGGACCCAGAAAGAGCUCCAGUAAAGCAAGAUGGUUGCUUUUUUCCCCCUUUUUCUUUUGAGUAAGUGGAUCUUUUUCUCCCAGGAAGCCUUCAAACCUCCAGGUCUCUCUUGAGCUAACGCAGGCGAUCAGUGUGGAUCCCACCACCACGCGGUGCCUUGCUUUGGCUCGACAUCGCUGACACCAAGAGGGUUUUCCUUUUGACACCGAGCAACCUCCCCAGGGAAGAAGAGCAGACAGGCUCUGCUUGCCUGACCCAGGAAGGGGGACUGAGGUGUGUGCUGGGGGUCCAUGCACCAGCCUUACACCUGUACUGAGCUGCAGGUAGGCACAGAGGGGGGUAUGUGUGCGAAUCUUUAGAUACAUACAGGCGUAUACAGUUGGUCCUCAUUUUUUUGUGUGUGUGUGUGGAUUCCAUACUUGCCGAUUUGCCUACUUGCUGAAAUGUAUCUGUAAGCUCCAAACCCGUAUUCACAGCCCUUUUGUGGUCGUGUGCAGACACAUACAGAGUGGUGAAAAAUUUGAGUUGCCCCACGUGAGUGUUCCCAGCUGAGGUCAAAUAAGGCCACUUUCUGCCUUCUUGUUUCAGCUCUCCUACCACAAACAAUCGCCCUUUUUGUGGUCUAUUUAAUGCCGCACUUUUGUGCUUUUUGUUGGUGAUUUCGUUGUUUAAAAUGGCUCUCGAGUGUAGCGCUAAAGUGCUGUUCUGUGUUCCUAAGUGCAGGAAGGCUGUGAUGUGCCUUUUGGAGGAAAUAUACGAGUCAGAUGAGCUGCUUUCAAGUUGUAGAGCUGUUGACUUGCAAGUUCAAUGUUAAUGAAUCAACAGCAUAUAUGAAGUCAGGUGUCUUUAAGCAGAAAACCCAUACAGCAAGGUUAUGUAUUGAUGUGUUGAUGAGCCUGUUGUGUCUAGAGGCUCACAGGAACUUGACUCUGGGCUCUCCAGGGAACAGUCGGUCAGCAUUCACUGAUUCGGUGUUUGGCCCAACUUUAUAGAACAUAAGUACUGCAGUUAAUGCAGAUCGACUCUAAAGUGCUUUGAGAGUUUUGCAUAUGGCGUCACAUUUGGCUGAAGUUGACCCAGAUGGUGCCCUCACGCAGGUGUCUGUGCUGGGGUGGGGGAUGGGAACGAGAGGGGAGGGGCCGCUGGGAAGCAGGGCACCAGGAGAAUGCAGCUGGCUCAUCAUCUCGAGGUACAUGACUUACUAAAGGGGAGGUAGUGCCCAAGGUCCUGUGUCCUCUGGGUGAGAAGAGACUUCCGGAAAACGCCCCGACGUGGCCUCCAGUUUGCUUCCUGGUGCUACACGGAUCGUGUGAAUCUCGCUGUGAGAUGAACUGCACCUGCAUCUAUCGGACACCUAGGAAGGGACAGGGGGCGGGAUGCUGGUGCAGGGAACUGAGAGGGAAAGAUGGAAGGGUGGGGGUUUCACUCUUUGUACCUUCUCACCCCCUAGAAGAGAAAUGGCCGUGGGUAUCCAGGCAAUGAACGGAUUCCCAUGUGCCGACUGCUGCCAGGCAUGGCACAUGUGGAUCUCAUUUGAACUUGAUGGCAACCUUCAGAGCUCUCAUCCUCUCCAUUCUGCGAUCAAGGAAGACACAGAGAGGUUGCCUGCAUUGUCAGAAGACACACAGCGAGUCAGGGAUAGAAUUUAGAUUCAAGCCUAGGUUAACUGAGAUGCAACUCAUGGGAUUUGGUGGCUGAUUGGAAAAUCAGAUGGAACAGCAGCAAAGAUGGGGGACGAAGCUGGGCUUUUGUCUGGAUGUCUAAAAUAAUGGUUGCUUUGAGGGAAGUGCAGAAGUUUGAGCGAGUGAGUGCAGGGAACAAGGGUAAAAGCUGAGGCCGUGGUGCUCAGCCUGGGACGGAUUUGCCCCUUAGCGGACAUUUGGCAAUGUCUGGAUUCCUUUUUGGUUGUUGGUUGUGUCAGUGGGGUUAACGGCAUCUAACGGACAGAGGCCAGGGAGGCUGCUAAAACCUCUCACCGGGCAGAGAACCGCCCUCACAACAAAGAAUUAUCUGAGCCAAGAUAUCAGUAAGGCCAAGGCCGAGAACACCUGAAUUAACAUGAAAGCAGGUCGUGGCAGGAUAUCGUGGGUCAGGCCGAAGGCAGAACCCACCUUUGGGACAGCAGAGGAUGAGGGGGUCUACUUUGGGUUUCCAGUUACAUUUCCUCUGCUGAGAAAUGACUGCAAUCUAGAAACUUCAGUAGAAGUAUUUCCUUCUGACCAGUUAUCAUUCCUGGCUCAGUUCACUCUUUGUUGUUGUUGUGGUACCUUCUCUGUGUUAAAUAAGACAUACACUGUCUGUGAGCCCGGUCCCCACAUGGCAGCAGGCACAGAUAGGUGACAAGGUCAGAGAGGAAGCAUCCCUGGACCUGGGAGGCCAGGCUGGGGGCCCAGUGCCAUCUGUAAAACGACUAUAGGUAUGGGGCACCUCUUGGAGCUCAGGGACCGUGUGAGGCCUCUGCUGGGGGUCUGAGAUAAGGGGGAAGGACAGGGACAGCAAGUCCCAAAAAACCCAGGCUACUCCUGAGAGUUCAGGCUGACCUAACGGGUCACUGUUGGUUUUUACUUCCCUCACUCUUCUGAGCAUUUAGUUUGUCCUCAGGGACCUUGCAGUGUUUGCAGGGCAGACCCAUGAAUAAAACUGAGCUGUGCAAAUUCCUGCAGGGGCGGUGUUUACCAAGUGUGGUGGGGGCACAGAGGAAGGGACAGGUGUGUUCUCUUGCAGAAGCCAAAGGACGGCAAAAGUCGCUUUGAGGACCGGAAGGUAGAAGGAGUCCAGGCAGAGGGAGGAAAGUGCCGGAAGGCGGGAGCGCGCUGUGGGUGCUCAGCUUUGGUCAAGGGCGAGGGGAAGGCGGCAGGGAGGACACGAGGUGGCAGAAAAUUGGGUGCUGCCCACAGAGUGAUCUCUGAGGCCUCAGGGGAGGGUGUCCCCAAGAGGUGAAGCGUCCCCACUAGAAGGCAGAGCUGUUUCCAGUCCCCUGUGGCAGGGAAGCUAUGGCCCCUCUCCCGGAGGUGGUGAUAGGACUAGUGCCCAUUCUGCGUCCAUUUGGAGAAGCUAAUUCCUUCCUCAAAAAGCAAACCAAGCUGGGCACUAAACACCCUUUCCAGAGGGUGGGCGCUGGGGAGCCUGGGCUCCGUUCCCAGCAUCUCUGUGUCCUCACCGUGCAGUUAGGGGAAAUCCGCUUCAUUUCUCUGGGCCACCGUUUCUGGUCUGUAAAAUGAAUAGAGGGGCGCCUGGCUGGCUCAGGACGUGAUCUCGUGGUUCGUGAGUUCGAGCCCCAUGUCGGGCUCUGUGCUGACAGCUCGGAGCCUGGAGCCUGCUUCGGUUUCUGUGCGUGUCUCUCUCUCUCUCUCUUUAAAAAAUAAAUCUUCAAAAUAGAAUACCUGCACCUACACCGUUGGAUUUUUCUGAGGUGAAAUGAUUUCAGGUGAUUGGCUGGGGUGAGUCCCUCCUUCCCAUCUGAGAGCAGCAGUGGAAGAAGGUCUGAGACAGUGACGAGUUUGAGGACUGAGCCUGAGAGCCGCCAGCCCCCAGAUGCUCCAGUUGGCUGUCACCUGUGCAUUUUUU